GACGAACGCUGGCGGCGUGCUUAACACAUGCAAGUCGAACGGUAAGGCCCUUCGGGGUACACGAGUGGCGAACGGGUGAGUAACACGUGGGUGAUCUGCCCUGCACUUCGGGAUAAGCCUGGGAAACUGGGUCUAAUACCGGAUAGGACCCUGGGAUGCAUGUCCUGGGGUGGAAAGCUUUUGCGGUGUGGGAUGGGCCCGCGGCCUAUCAGCUUGUUGGUGGGGUAAUGGCCUACCAAGGCGACGACGGGUAGCCGGCCUGAGAGGGUGACCGGUCACACUGGGACUGAGAUACGGCCCAGACUCCUACGGGAGGCAGCAGUGGGGAAUAUUGCACAAUGGGCGCAAGCCUGAUGCAGCGACGCCGCGUGAGGGAUGACGGCCUUCGGGUUGUAGACCUCUUUCAGCUAUGACGAAGCGCAAGUGACGGUAGUAGCAGAAGAAGGACCGGCCAACUACGUGCCAGCCGCCGCCGUAA
rnacentral:rRNA from 1 species